rnacentral:rRNA from 1 species
GACGAACGCUGGCGGCGUGCUUAACACAUGCAAGUCGAACGGAAACGCCCUGCUAUUGUGGGGUGCUCGAGUGGCGAACGGGGGAGUAACACGUGAGUAACCUGCCCUUGACUUUGGUAUAACUUCAGGUAACUGAGGCUAAUACCGGAUAGGAGCUCCCCUUGCAUGGUGGGCGUUGGAAAGUUUCGGCGGUUGGGGAUGGACUAGCGGCUUAUCAGCUUGUUGGUGGGGUAGUGGCUUACCAAGGCUGUGACGGGUAGCCGGCCUGAGAGGGUGACCGGCCACCUUGGGACUGAGAUACGGCCCAGACUCCUACGGGAGGCAGCAGUGGGGAAUCUUGCACAAUGGGCGGAAGCCUGAUGCAGCAACGCCGCGUGCGGGAUGACGGCCUUCGGGUUGUAAACCGCUUUCGCCUGUGACGAAGCGUGAGUGACGGUAAUGGGUAAAGAAGCACCGGCUAACUACGUG